GGGGCAGCAGCUCUGUAGCAAUACAGAGGCUGGCGACCGGCAAACGGGUGCGGAACACGUACACAACCUUCCUUUAAGUGGGGAAUAGCCCGGGGAAACCCGGAUUAAUACCCCGUAACAUUAUGAAGUGGCAUCACUUUAUACUUAUAGCUACGGCGCUUAAUGAUGGGUGUGCGGCUGAUUAGGUAGUUGGCGGGGUAAUGGCCCACCAAGCCUGCGAUCAGUAACUGGUGUGAGAGCACGACCAGUCACACGGGCACUGAGACACGGGCCCGACUCCUACGGGAGGCAGCAGUAAGGAAUAUUGGUCAAUGGACGCAAGUCUGAACCAGCCAUGCCGCGUGGAGGAUGAAGGUCCUCUGGAUUGUAAACUUCUUUUAUCUGGGAAGAAAUCCAAGAUUUCUAUUUUGGUUGACGGUACCAGAUGAAUAAGCACCGGCUAACUCCGUGCCAGCAGCCGCGGUAAUACGGAGGGUGCAAGCGUUAUCCGGAUUCACUGGGUUUAAAGGGUGCGUAGGUGGGUUGGUAAGUCAGUGGUGAAAUCCCCGAGCUUAACUUGGGAACUGCCAUUGAUACUAUCAGUCUUGAAUACCGUGGAGGUCAGCGGAAUAUGUCAUGUAGCGGUGAAAUGCUUAGAUAUGACAUAGAACACCAAUUGCGAAGGCAGCUGGCUACACGAAUAUUGACACUCAGGCACGAAAGCGUGGGGGAUCAAACAGGAUUAGAUACCCUGGUAGUCCACGCCCUAAACGAUGGAUACUCGACAUUUGCGAUAAACUGCAAGUGUCUGAGCGAAAGCAUUAGUAUCCCACCUGGGAAGUACGAU
rnacentral:rRNA from 1 species